AGACCGAUAGCGAACAAGUAGAGUGAUCGAAAGAUGAAAAGCACUUUGGAAAGAGAGUCAAACAGCACGUGAAAUUGUUGAAAGGGAAGCGCUUGCAGCCAGACUUGCUUGCAGUUGCUCAUCCGGGCUUUUGCCCGGUGCACUCUUCUGCAGGCAGGCCAGCAUCAGUUUGGGCGGUAGGAUAAAGGUCUCUGUCACGUACCUCUCUUCGGGGAGGCCUUAUAGGGGAGACGACAUACUACCAGCCUGGACUGAGGUCCGCGCRYCUGCUAGGAUGCUGGCG
rnacentral:rRNA from 1 species